UGAGGAAUCUUGCGCAAUGGGGGAAACCCUGACGCAGCAACGCCGCGUGGAGGAAGACGGCCUUCGGGUUGUAAACUCCUUUUAUUUGGGACGAACAUUGACGGUACCAAACGAAUAAGGACUGGCUAACCAUGUGCCAGCAGCCGCGGUAAUACAUGGAGUCCAAGCGUUACCCGGAUUUACUGGGCGUAAAGCGUCCGUAGGUGGUGCAUCAAGUUUCUGGUGAAAUCUCACUGCUCAACGGUGAAACCGUCAGAAAUACUGGUGCGCUUGAGUACGGCAGAGGUAGAUGGAAUUCCUGGUGUAGGGGUAAAAUCCGUUGAUAUCAGGAAGAACACCAGUGGCGAAGGCGAUCUACUGGGCCGUUACUGACACUGAGGGACGAAAGCGUGGGGAGCGAACGG
rnacentral:rRNA from 1 species